GGCGAUACAUACCUCCAGGCAGAAUAAGAUAGCACGAAACCAAACCAAGAAAAAGAAUUAUUUGUUUAUAAAAGCUUGCCAUUUUAUAAUCAACACGACAGGAGUGCCAGUGUUUUUGACACAAAAAAACUAAAAGGCCUUUAAUGACUUUGAUCUAAAAACCGAGAUAAUCUAACUGUCAAUCAAACUAUUUAUCAUAAGAUAAAUUCAAGAAUCUGAAGUUAUCUUACCUUGAGCACACGAACUGGUUAUAAGCUCUAAAUUAGUGAUAUGCAGAAGAAUUGCAAACACAAAAAUGAAUUCCUUUUGUUUAUCCAUCUUUCUGUCUAUCAUUCUCCAGUCUAUCAUUCUUCUGUCUAUCAUUCUUCAGUCUAUCAUUCUACUGUCUAUCAUUCUUCAGUCUAUCAUUCUUCUAUCCAUCAUUCUUCUAUCAUUCUUCUGUCUAUCAUUCUUCUGUCUAUCAUUCUUCUGUCUAUCAUUCUUCAGUCUAUCAUUCUUCAGUCUAUCAUUCUUCUAUCCAUCAUUCUUCUAUCAUUCUUCUG